GACGAACGCUGGCGGCGUGCUUAACACAUGCGAGUCGAACGGAAAGGCCCUGCUUUUGUGGGGUGCUCGAGUGGCGAACGGGUGAGUAACACGUGAGUAACCUGCCCUUGACUUUGGGAUAACUUCAGGAAACUGGGGCUAAUACCGGAUAGGAGCUCCUGCUGCAUGGUGGGGGUUGGAAAGUUUCGGCGGUUGGGGAUGGACUCGCGGCUUAUCAGCUUGUUGGUGGGGUAGUGGCUUACCAAGGCUUUGACGGGUAGCCGGCCUGAGAGGGUGACCGGCCACAUUGGGACUGAGAUACGGCCCAGACUCCUACGGGAGGCAGCAGUGGGGAAUAUUGCACAAUGGGCGGAAACCUGAUGCAGCAACGCCGCGUGCGGGAUGACGGCCUUCGGGUUGUAAACCGCUUUCGCCUGUGACGAAGCGUGAGUGACGGUAAUGGGUAAAGAAGCACCGGCUAACUACGUG
rnacentral:rRNA from 1 species